rnacentral:rRNA from 1 species
UGGCGGACGGGUGAGUAAUGCUUGGGAAUCUAGCUUAUGGAGGGGGAUAACUACGGGAAACUGUAGCUAAUACCGCGUAAUAUCGAAAGAUUAAAGUGUGGGACCUUCGGGCCACAUGCCAUAGGGUGAACCCAAGUGGGAUUAGGUAGUUGGUGAGGUAAAGGCUCACCAAGCCGACGAUCUCUAGCUGGUCUGAGAGGAUGACCAGCCACACUGGGACUGAGACACGGCCCAG